rnacentral:rRNA from 1 species
GUCGAGCGGACUUGAUGAGGAGCUUGCUCCUCUGAUGGUUAGCGGCGGACGGGUGAGUAACACGUAGGCAACCUGCCUGCAAGACCGGGAUAACUAGCGGAAACGUUAGCUAAUACCGGAUAAUUUAUCGCUUUGCAUGAAGCGGUAAUGAAAGGCGGAACAAUCUGUCACUUGCAGAUGGGCCUGCGGCGCAAUAACUAGUUGGUGAGGUAACGGCUCACCAAGGCGACCAUGCGUAACCCACCUGAAAGGGUGAACGGCCACACUGGGACUGAAACACGGCCCAAACUCCUACGGGAGGCAGCAGUAGGGAAUCUUCCGCAAUGGGCGAAAGCCUGACGGAACAACCCCCCGUGAGUGAUGAAGGUUUUCGGAUCGUAAAGCUCUGUUGCCAGGGAAGAACGACCGUUAGAGUAACUGCUAACGGAAUGACGGUACCUGAAAAGAAAGCCCCGGCUAACUACCUGCCAGCAGCCGCGGUAAUACCUAAGGGGCAAGCGUUGUCCGGAAUUAUUGGGCGUAAAGCGCGCGCAGGCGGUCACUUAAGUCUGGUGUUUAAGGCUAAGGCUCAACCCUGGUUCGCACUGGAAACUGGGUGACUUGAGUGCAGAAGAAGAGAGUGGAAUUCCACGUGUAGCGGUGAAAUGCGUAGAGAUGUGGAAGAACACCAGUGGCGAAAGCCACUCUCUGGGCUGUAACUGACGCUGAAGCGCGAAAGCGUGGGGAGCAA